rnacentral:rRNA from 1 species
UGGGUUAAGUCCCGCAACGAGCGCAACCCUUAUCCUUUGUUGCCAGCGGUCCGGCCGGGAACUCAAAGGAGACUGCCAGUGAUAAACUGGAGGAAGGUGGGGAUGACGUCAAGUCAUCAUGGCCCUUACGAGUAGGGCUACACACGUGCUACAAUGGCGCAUACAAAGAGAAGCGAACUCGCGAGAGCAAGCGGACCUCAUAAAGUGCGUCGUAGUCCGGAUCGGAGUCUGCAACUCGACUCCGUGAAGUCGGAAUCGCUAGUAAUCGUGG